rnacentral:rRNA from 1 species
UACGUAGGGCGCGAGCGUUGUCCGGAAUUAUUGGGCGUAAAGAGCUCGUAGGCGGCUUGUCACGUCGGGUGUGAAAGACCGGGGCUUAACUCCGGUUCUGCAUUCGAUACGGGCUAGCUAGAGUGUGGUAGGGGAGAUCGGAAUUCCUGGUGUAGCGGUGAAAUGCGCAGAUAUCAGGAGGAACACCGAUGGCGAAGGCAGAUCUCUGGGCCGUAACUGACGCUGAGGAGCGAAAGCAUGGGGAGCGAACAGG